rnacentral:rRNA from 1 species
UACGGGGGGAGCAAGCGUUGUUCGGAUUUACUGGGCGUAAAGGGCGCGUAGGCGGCCAGCACAAGUCAGUUGUGAAAUCUCCGAGCUUAACUCGGAAAGGUCAACUGAUACUGUGCGGCUAGAGUGCGGAAGGGGCAACUGGAAUUCUUGGUGUAGCGGUGAAAUGCGCAGAUAUCAGGAGGAACACCCGUAGCGAAGGCGGCACUCUGGGCCGAUACUGACACUGAGGAGCGAAAGCGUGGGGAGCGAACAGG